GAGAGGGAAGGGGAGAGGGAGAUGGGGAGGGAAAGAAAGGUGGAGAGAAGACAGGAAAUGGGGUAAAAAAGUUAAUUGAGGUAAAGGAUUGAUGACUAUUACUGUUUUUGCAACAUUUUUUGUAAGCUUGAAAUUACUUUCAUAUAAAAAUUUCAAUGUUAAAAAAAAUGUAACAGGAUUUCCUAGUUAGUCGGGGAGGAAAAGAGUUCCAAGUCCUUGUCAGAUAAUUCCCCGAGGUGGGAGUGGGCGGGUGAGGCAGCCGUGAUGAGAUGUGCCAGUUUAACCAGGCUGGUCGUGCCCCGGAGCUGCAGACUUAGGCCCAUUCUGUUUGCACUUCGUGCAGGGUUGGCCAGAGCUCGGGUCACGGUGAACCUUUGAUUCAAGGCAAGUCCCAUUUCUCAGUGUUGCUCUUCACCCUGGGCCUUGGUGGUGUGUUGGUGUUGCCAGCCCUUAGGCUGGUUGGUUGUUCCAGGCUUUGUGAUCUCUGUAGGUGCUCAGGUGCUCUCACCGAUGUUACACUUCCUACCCCCAAUUAGAGACUGUUUUUCAUAAUUGUCUUGUUUUAGGCCCUUGUUUCAGUAAACGUCUUUUGCAGUUAACGCAUGUUCUGAUUAAUGCAUGUAUGCAGAUGCCCUCGUGGGCAUUCAGCCUCACAGUGCUUUGGAAUUAUUUCGCAAUUUAUGAUUUAUGAUUUACUUGGUACUCAGGACAGACCUCUAAAAUGGCCGAACGUGUAGUUUCAUAAAUGAAAUCUGGUGGGGUAAGUGGUUGGAGCAGCAGUGUGUUAAAAGGGAGAAGUUAGUCUAAGUUGAGAAUUGUUGACUGUGGGGUAGCAGAAGGGCUAGAUGUGGGGCAUCAGUUCAGAAGGCAGGACGGGAUUGCAGGUCCUGUUGUUUGUCUUCUUAAAUUCAGCUGAUAUGCUGGGCAUUAGGUACCCGGAAGCUUUGGCGCCACACGUCUAGGGUGUGAUCGAGUUUAUGUACCAUCUGGUGACCGGUCGGGGGGGGGGUUGCGUCUGGAAGCUCCCCCAACACCAGGCCUUAGAGAAGCCUCGGAGGAGCUCAGCUCCAGGGCACAUCAGUCCCUUCACCUGCUGUUACGUGGGCAGGAGCUGUUACACCCGGAGGCCUGCAGAGCUCCAGCACCCACACCUCAAAUGUGCCCCAGACACCUCUCUGUAAAUCCCACCCGCACCGAUCACAGGUCUCUGUCGAAGUCCUUUACCACGCGCAUGACACCCCGAAUGCGCCCGGUCUCGUCUGGGUUGAAGUACUUUAUAUUCCAGAAACUUGGGAGCCGUGGGGCCCGUGAGGCCAGCGCAUGUGGGGUUUGACUCUGGAAGAUCGUUUUCUCCUGGAACAGUGGCAUCUGGUUCAGAGGGGUCCGUGCGGGGGAUCUGGACGUGCUCCGGCCCAUUGUCUUAGCACGUUCCCUUGCCUUCCGUGACACUGCCGGCGGGGGGACGGCUGCCCCUGGGCGGCGCUCAGCGCUGCGCAAGAUCAGCUCUCCCAGCCUGCCCGGGUGUCACUGACAGCUCACUUGAGGUGGGGUUGGCACGUCCCUGUCAUACUUCAUGAUCCCAGUGAAAACUCUCCAGGAUAUUCCAGGUUGAGGUUUUGUCCUGCGUGUGCUUAGAUCGAUUAGACAAGGGGGCCGCUAGAUGAGAGGUGGUUGUAAUGCUUCGGCAGCCUAACAAGCAACCCAAAACCUCAGCCUGGGAACGCCUUGUGGACUGAAAAAAAAAAAAAAAAAAAAAGCCAGCAAAUGUGAAAGUCGUGAGUUAAGUUUAUUGGGGGCAAAAUGAGGGUUGUUGCCCAGGAGACAGUCUUUCAGGAGGACCUGAGGAACUGCUCCCAGGAGCAUGUGUGUGGUUUUAGUGAACAGGGAUACGUGCAGGGAAGCACGCGUUUUGGCAGGAGGUUGCAGCUGGUCACGAGGAGCAGAGGUCUCCGCGAAGACAGGAGAAGAUCAAAGAACUUGGGCUCAUAAAAUCUGAAAACACCGAACUGUCCGAAGGCCCGUCGUGCAUUUUCCCCCAGAGCACAAGGAGCCUUGUUCCCAGUCUCCACCCUGAACUCCUUUCGGGGUGUGUUGAAGUCCCUGCAGUGGCUGGUGACUUCAUUCUUGUAGAACCAGAUGGCGAGCUGCAGGUUUUAGUUGGCAGCCUCAAGGUUAAAAGAAACCAAGGGACCACAAGUCACAAGCAGCUAACUUGGUUUUCCUGUGCAGGGAAGACUUAAGCAAUAGCCAAUCAAGUCGUUUCCUCACUUUGCUUCCUUGUCUCUGUAAACGUCUGGCCUCUACUUCCUGUGGCUGGAAUGCCACUGACCACUUCCCGGUUGGUGCUGCCUGAUUGGAAUGGUUUUUGCUCAAUUAAACGUGAACUUUUUCAUAUGCCUCAGUUUAUCUUUCCUCAAUGCUUUUCAACAGAGAUUCUGAAGACCUUACAUCAGAAUCAUCUGGGGAAUUUGUUUAACGUGUUUGGGGCUGGAGCAGUUUUCACUGGGACCUAGGAAACUUCAUUUUACCCAGCCCUUUGGGUGAUGGGCUAGGGCGCAAGAAAAUCUUGAGGGUUGCUGUAUCAUUGCGUGGAUCACCGUGGCUUCACCAGAGCACACACUGACGUGGUGGAACACAUCCUGCAGACUCCCCCCACCCGCCCAAAGCAGAUACGGGAGCAUCCUACAAACAGCAGGGCUUCGUCUUCACAGCCGAGUGCUGUCUCACUGCUCUCAGCUGGGAGCGAUGACGCAUGCAUCCCUUCAGCGACGCAGCAUGGUUAUCCUGAUUUCUCACUAGAAAAAGACUUUGGUUUUGGUUUUACUUUUGGGAGGGGUCAGACAUUCAUUUACUGCUGUGUCUCCGCACUCGGCACAGUGCCCAGCUUCAUGAAGGCGCUUGAUGAAGAUUGCUUCAAUAAACACGUUUCUUUUGCGUCGGUCCCCUCCCUAAGUUUCUUGGUUGCCACUGCUCCGCUCCACCUUCAUGUCCCAUAACUGGGGAGGCAGACGAAGCCCUCUCCUUUGGCCACCCCAGGAGUGCAGCUCCACAGAAAAGGCUUGAAUUCUGUUGCAGGUGAGGUUGGGCUUUUCCAGGACCGGGCGCUGGGUUGGGAGUGGAGAGCCCAGCGAAGCCAGUGCCAGUGCGAGGGGCCUGGGAGAGUGGAGGGUGGCAGAGGAUGCAGCGGGAACGCUUUAACCCAAGCACGUGUGUAACUUGUGCUGCGAUCUGUGACAGUAAAGUGUAUCUUUAACAACCUC